rnacentral:rRNA from 1 species
CAGUCGCCGCGGUAAUGCAGAGGUCUCAAGCGUUGUUCGGAUUCAUUGGGCGUAAAGGGUGCGUAGGUGGCUUGGUAAGUUGAAGGUGAAAUCUCGGGGCUUAACUCCGAAACUGCCUUCAAUACUGCUGAGCUCGAGGAUUGUAGAGGAGAAUGGAAUUCACGGUGUAGCAGUGAAAUGCGUAGAUAUCGUGAGGAAGACCAGUGGCGAAGGCGAUUCUCUGGGCAAUUCCUGACACUGAGGCACGAGGGCCAGGGGAGCAAACGGGAUUAGAGACCCCCGUAGUCCCUGUCUCUUAUAC